rnacentral:lncRNA from 1 species
GCCAGGAUCUGGUCUCCCCGGACCUCUCCGAUCCCCUGGUUGGUGGGGAACUUCAACUUCAAAUGGUAGGUCGAAAUGACAGCUCGGAGGGCAUUGAGGCCGGGUCGGUCAAGGAUUGCAUUGUAGGCGGAUGGCGCCUUCACCACCAAGAAAUUCACUAGAGCCCUGGAUUGCUUUGGAUAUUGACCCGCGGUCACAAUCAAAGCUAUCAUUCCUUCCGUCGGAACGGCGUCACCGGUAAACCCCACCAGGGGGAGCAAAUCGGCCUCAGAUGACCGCUAAGAGCAGACAUUCUUGAAAAGGCAUCGUAGAACAAGAUGUCGGCCGAACUUCCGUUGUCGACAAGAAUGCGACGGACGUCGUAAUUUGCUAUAUUCAAGGAAACUACGACCGCGUCGUUAUGAGGAAAUUGGACUCCCUGGGUAUCUUCUUCGGUAAAGGUUAUUGGUUCUUCAACUUUUUGCCGCUUGGGGGAUACAGCUGGUAUGUUGGUUGCCUCCUGCUAGGAUCCCCCCGAAAUGGUGUUGACAGGAUCCGCUAGAGGCCGUUCGUCCGGUCGCUCCUUGUCAGCGACCAUAGCCGGAGGUAGUUGUGCGAAAGGAGGAGUGGGUACCGGAUAAGAUGAUCGGAGGUGGAUCCGUUGAGCGCUCCUUUAAGAAUAAGGGUACUGCGAAGGCACAGCCCUCCUUCUAGCGCCAAUCCUGUUGGUGCAAAAAUCCGCUUGCGCCGGAGAAGUUGGAGUCGGGGAAGUCGCGGUUGCCGUCGGGACCUGCAAAGGAUGUCUAAACUGGAGGUGGGGUUGCUCCGGCAAGACCCUCCGACGCUCAAGUCAGUUCUCUGCCUCAAUAAGAAUGGAGUGCUCGAACGGAGAAUUUAGCAGAGUUUUUGGAUGA